GGGCCCGUAGCUCAGUCGGUCAGAGCAGACGACUCAUAAUCGUUUGGUCGCUGGUUCGAUCCCAGCCGGGCCCACCC
rnacentral:tRNA from 1 species